UCAAUGGAUGGCUAGGGUUCCGAGCGCCCCUCGACGAGUAUUCGACGAGAUCGCGUUGUCUGGUCCGAGAGCUAUCGACCCGGCCUGGCGUCAUGCGCAGGCAAGGUUACACGGCGGGAGAAAAGCCCGGGAGGA
rnacentral:sRNA from 1 species